rnacentral:misc_RNA from 1 species
GUAUAAGUUUAUAGGCACAAAAGGCCUGUUUAUUACAUUCUAUAAACAUACAUGGGGUAUAUGAAAACAUAGACCUGAAAAUGCAAGGAAAGAAAAUAAAAUCAAUCCUCAAACCCAUUCGGAGAGAUAUCCAGGUCUACAAAAGGUUCACAGGUGGAGAUAUAAAGAUGACAAGUGUGCACAUGCUCCCUAGAGAACCAGCAGCAACUCAUCAGGUUUAUUUCAAUAAUGAUCCUUCCGCAGGUUCACCUACGGAAA